GACGAACGCUGGCGGCGUGCUUAACACAUGCGAGUCGAACGGAAAGGCCUGCUUUCCCUUGUGGAUUGCGGGUACUCGAGUGGCGAACGGGUGAGUAACACGUGAGUGUUCUGCCCCCAACUUGGGUAUAAGCCUGGGAAACUGGGUCUAAUUCCCGAUAGGACUGCAGGGUGGUGCCUGUGGUGGAAAACGAUUUUCUAGUGGUUGGGGAUGAGCUCGCGGCCUAUCAGCUUGUUGGUGGGGUAAUGGCCUACCAAGGCGGCGACGGGUAGCCGGCCUGAGAGGGUGGACGGCCACAUUGGGACUGAGAUACGGCCCAGACUCCUACGGGAGGCAGCAGUGGGGAAUAUUGCACAAUGGGCGGAAGCCUGAUGCAGCGACGCCGCGUGGGGGAUGACGGCCUUCGGGUUGUAAACUCCUUUCGACCGCGAGGAAGCCACCUGGUUGGAAGGGUGGUGACGGUAGUGGUAGAAGAAGCACCGGCUAACUACGUG
rnacentral:rRNA from 1 species